UUUUCAAUAAAAGUAUCCUCUAAGAGCCCAUCCAAGUCAUCGUGCAAGUUAUAUUUUUCAUGGUUUUUAUCAUAGGGUUUUCUUGAAGAUAGUCCCUCUCCAUGAAAAAUCCAUUUCUUAUAACUUGCAUCAAAUCCGUCACAAAACAAAUGCUCAAACACAUCCUCUCGAUUACCCCAACUACAAUUCUUACAGUUCUUACAUGGACACAAUAUUUCAUUCCCUUCAGCUACAGUAC
rnacentral:lncRNA from 1 species